rnacentral:lncRNA from 1 species
AGAGAGGCAAGCUUGGCCCAGACGACGGCACCAUGAGCUGAUAUCAACAUGACCAGCAUGUCCCAGCAGGGGGCGCUGCUCUGUCAUCUGAGGUCAUCUGAAGACAGACGCUUCCUCACGUGCAUCUACUGCUGAAGUACUUGUAGCCGAGGGAAACCAGCGCUAAGGAUGAAGAGGAGGCCGGGGAUCCACAUCAUCUGGGUCAGGAGAACCAGAAGCAGAGCAAAGACAAAGGAACUGGACUCACGUCAAACAGUCGGCCCGGAUGAAGAUGGAUGUCUCUGCCGCAGCCCCUGCAACAGGCUGCUCUCCUCCGAUGAGCUAAACGGCGCCGUACGGAGAGGGAUGCGAGCAGUGCAGCGCUGAUUCCGACAGUCAUGCAUUUAAUUUCAUGCCAGAAAACCAAACGUUUCAGAUUUGCAGGUGCAAAGCGAACAGAGUUAAUGCAUGAAGUGAGCAGCAUCUCCUCGAACGCUGCUCAGGCAAAUGUUUCCUCUGGUUUGGUUUGAACCGAAGCUUCUCUACUUUCAAAACUAAUCUGAAACUUCGAAUGUGAACCAGAUCUGGGUCUAGGUUUGCACUCACAUUAUUAUAGUAGGAUUAAUCAUGUUUUAGUUUUUAUUAUUGUAAAAUCUGUCGCCCCCAAAACACUGGAGAUUUAAAGAGCAUCUGUAUGAAAUAAAGUCCAUAUGCUGCGUCA